UCUCCGUAGGUGAACCUGCGGAGGGAUCAUUACUGAGUGAGGGUCUCCGGGCCCGACCUCCAACCCUUUGUGAAUCGUACUCGUUGCUUCGGGGGCGACCCUGCCGUCCGCGGCUGAGCGCCCCCGGGGUCAAUCAAACCCUGCGUAACUAAGUCGUCGGAGUUUAAACAAAUUAAACAAAACUUUCAACAACGGAUCUCUUGGUUCGGGCAUCGAUGAAGAACGCAGC
rnacentral:misc_RNA from 1 species